CUAGCGUUGCUCGGAAUCACUGGGCGUAAAGGGCGCGUAGGCGGCCUGAUAAGUCGGGGGUGAAAGCCUGUGGCUCAACCACAGAAUUGCCUUCGAUACUGUUGGGCUUGAGACCGGAAGAGGUAAGUGGAACUGCGAGUGUAGAGGUGAAAUUCGUAGAUAUUCGCAAGAACACCAGUGGCGAAGGCGGCUUACUGGUCCGGAUCUGACGCUGAGGCGCGAAAGCGUGGGGAGCAAACAGG
rnacentral:rRNA from 1 species